CAUGCAAGUCGAACGAUGACUAACUAGCUUGCUAGUUAUGAUUAGUGGCGGACGGGUGAGUAACAUUUAGGAAUCUGCCUAGUAGUGGGGGAUAGCUCGGGGAAACUCGAAUUAAUACCGCAUACGACCUACGGGUGAAAGGGGGCGCAAGCUCUUGCUAUUAGAUGAGCCUAAAUCAGAUUAGCUAGUUGGUGGGGUAAAGGCCCACCAAGGCGACGAUCUGUAACUGGUCUGAGAGGAUGAUCAGUCACACCGGAACUGAGACACGGUCCGGACUCCUACGGGAGGCAGCAGUGGGGAAUAUUGGACAAUGGGGGCAACCCUGAUCCAGCCAUGCCGCGUGUGUGAAGAAGGCCUUUUGGUUGUAAAGCACUUUAAGCAGGGAGGAGAGGCUAAUGGUUAAUACCCAUUAGAUUAGACGUUACCUGCAGAAUAAGCACCGGCUAACUCUGUGCCAGCAGCCGCGGUAAUACAGAGGGUGCGAGCGUUAAUCGGAAUUACUGGGCGUAAAGCGAGUGUAGGUGGCUCAUUAAGUCACAUGUGAAAUCCCCGGGCUUAACCUGGGAACUGCAUGUGAUACUGGUGGUGCUAGAAUAUGUGAGAGGGAAGUAGAAUUCCAGGUGUAGCGGUGAAAUGCGUAGAGAUCUGGAGGAAUACCGAUGGCGAAGGCAGCUUCCUGGCAUAAUAUUGACACUGAGAUUCGAAAGCGUGGGUAGCAAACAGGAUUAGAUACCCUGGUAGUCCACGCCGUAAACGAUGUCUACUAGCCGUUGGGGUCCUUGAGACUUUAGUGGCGCAGUUAACGCGAUAAGUAGACCGCCUGGGGAGUACGGCCGCAAGGUUAAAACUCAAAUGAAUUGACGGGGGCCCGCACAAGCGGUGGAGCAUGUGGUUUAAUUCGAUGCAACGCGAAGAACCUUACCUGGUCUUGACAUAGUGAGAAUCCUGCAGAGAUGCGGGAGUGCCUUCGGGAAUUCACAUACAGGUGCUGCAUGGCUGUCGUCAGCUCGUGUCGUGAGAUGUUGGGUUAAGUCCCGCAACGAGCGCAACCCUUUUCCUUAUUUGCCAGCGGGUUAAGCCGGGAACUUUAAGGAUACUGCCAGUGACAAACUGGAGGAAGGCGGGGACGACGUCAAGUCAUCAUGGCCCUUACGACCAGGGCUACACACGUGCUACAAUGGUAGGUACAGAGGGUUGCUACACAGCGAUGUGAUGCUAAUCUCAAAAAGCCUAUCGUAGUCCGGAUUGGAGUCUGCAACUCGACUCCAUGAAGUCGGAAUCGCUAGUAAUCGCAGAUCAGAAUGCUGCGGUGAAUACGUUCCCGGGCCUUGUACACACCGCCCGUCACACCAUGGGAGUCUAUUGCACCAGAAGUAGGUAGCCUAACGCAAGAGGGCGCUACC
rnacentral:rRNA from 1 species